CCUACGGGCGGCAGCAGUGGGGAAUAUUGCGCAAUGGGCGAAAGCCUGACGCAGCGACGCCGCGUGAGGGAUGACUGUCUUCGGAUCGUAAACCUCUGUCAGCAGGGAAGAACGGUCACUGUGCUAAUCAGCAGUGAAUUGACGGUACCUGCAAAGGAAGCACCGGCUAACUCCGGGCCCGCAGCCGCGGUAAUACGGAGGGUGCGAGCGUUAAUCGGAAUUACUGGGCGUAAAGCGCUCGUAGGCGGGAUGUCAAGUCAAGGGUGAAAUCCCCGCGCUCAACGUGUGAACUGCCUUUGACACUGGCAAACUGGAGUGUGUGAGAGGAUAGUGGAAUUCCAGGUGUAGGAGUGAAAUCCGUAGAUAUCUGGAGGAACAUCAGUGGCGAAGGCGACUAUCUGGCACAUAACUGACGCUGAUGAGCGAAAGCGUGGGUAGCAAACAGGAUUAGAUACCCGUGUAGUC
rnacentral:rRNA from 1 species